rnacentral:rRNA from 1 species
AUUGAACGCUGGCGGCAGGCUUAACACAUGCAAGUCGAGCGGGGUGAUGGUGCUUGCACUAUCACUUAGCGGCGGACGGGUGAGUAAUGCUUAGGAAUCUGCCUAUUAGUGGGGGACAACAUCUCGAAAGGGAUGCUAAUACCGCAUACGUCCUACGGGAGAAAGCAGGGGAUCACUUGUGACCUUGCGCUAAUAGAUGAGCCUAAGUCGGAUUAGCUAGUUGGUGGGGUAAAGGCCUACCAAGGCGACGAUCUGUAGCGGGUCUGAGAGGAUGAUCCGCCACACUGGGACUGAGACACGGGCCAGACUCCUACGGGAGGAAGCAGUGGGGAAUAUUGGACAAUGGGGGGAACCCUGAUCCAGCCAUGCCGCGUGUGUGAAGAAGGCCUUAUGGUUGUAAAGCACUUUAAGCGAGGAGGAGGCUCUCUUGGUUAAUACCCAAGAUGAGUGGACGUUACUCGCAGAAUAAGCACCGGCUAACUCUGUGCCAGCCGCCGCUGUAA